rnacentral:pre_miRNA from 1 species
UGCCGAAGUUUUCCUCGACAGUUAACUGCCGCCGGUUUCAAUUUUCCUCGAUAGUUAACUGCCGAGGAGUCC